CCCACAAACAUUUCCACCUUAGCAAAACCGCUAAUCUCGAAUUCCAAAAAGGACAAAAUCGUAAACCCAACACAAAACCCACCCCCAAUAACGAUUACCCACGUCGCCCCCAAUCAGUAAACAACGUUCGUUGGCAACACAAAGAGAAAGAAACUUUUUCAAACGGAGAGAGAGAAAGAGAGAAAGAGAGAGAAACAGAAACAAACACUGAAACAACACUUAUUUCAAUUUCUUUCUCUCUCCUCUUCUCCUUCUCCGAUUCGCUUUCUCUCUCCUCGUCGAUCCCAAAUCUAUCAGGUCAGGGUUCCAUUUUUCUUAUGUUCUUCCGUUUCAAAUUCUUAUCAGCUUGUUUAUUGUUGCUUUAA